rnacentral:rRNA from 1 species
CCUACGGGUGGCAGCAGUGAGGAAUAUUGGUCAAUGGGCGAGCGUCUGAACCAGCCAAGUCGCGUGAAGGAUGACUGCCCUAUGGGUUGUAAACUUCUUUUAUAUGGGAAUAAAAUGUUCCACGUGUGGGCUUUUGUAUGUACCAUGUGAAUAAGGAUCGGCUAACUCCUGGCCAGCAGCCGCGGUAAUACUGAGGAUCCGAGCGUUAUCCGGAUUUAUUGGGUUUAAAGGGAUCGUAGGUGGAUUGUUAAGUUAGUUGUGAAAGUUUGCGGCUCAACCGUAACAGUGCAGUUGAAACUGGCAGUCUUGAGUAGAGUAGAGGUGGGCGGAAUGCGUGGUGUAGCGGUGAAAUGCUUAGAUAUCACGAAGAACUCCGAUUGCGAAGGCAGCUCACUGGACUGCAACUGACACUGAGGCACGAAAGUGUGGGUAUCAAACAGGAUUAGAUACCCGGGUAGUC